GAAAUGCGAUAAGUAAUGUGAAUUGCAGAAUUCAGUGAAUCAUCGAAUCUUUGAACGCACAUUGCGCCCGCCAGUAUUCUGGCGGGCAUGCCUGUCCGAGCGUCAUUUCAACCAUCAAGCCCCCGGGCUUGUGUUGGGGACCUGCGGCUGCCCGCAGGCCCUGAAUACCAGUGGCGGGCUCGCUGUCACACCGAGCGUAGUAGCAAUCACCUCGCUCAGGGCGUGCUGCGGGUUCCGGCCGUUAAACAGCCUUACAAAACCCAAGGUUGACCUCGGAUCAGGUAGGAAGACCCGCUGAACUUAAGC
rnacentral:misc_RNA from 1 species